GACGCAGCAGGUCAUGCAGGCUUCACAGCGAUUUUCGAAGACAGAUGGUUUAGGGACGUAUGGCCAAACAAAGCACUAGAGUUACCAGCAUUUACAAAAACUUUGGCACUAUUUGAGAUCUACCCCAUAGUGGCAGCAGCGAAAGUGUGGGGCCACUUAUGGGCAGGGAAGGCAGUCAAAUGCUAAACUGACAACAUGGCGGCUUG